AUUGAACGCUGGCGGCAAGCCUAACACAUGCAAGUCGAACGAGUGGCGGACGGGUGAGUAAUGUCGGGGAAACUGCCUGAGGGAGGGGGAUAACUAAUGGAAAAGGUAGCUAAUACCGCAUACCAUCGGAUGUGCCCAGAUGGGCUUAGCUAGUAGGUGGGGUAAAGGCUCACCUAGGCGACGAUCCCUAGCGGGUCUGAGAGGAUGACCAGCCACACUGGAACUGAGACACGGUCCAGACUCCUACGGGAGGCAGCAGUGGGGAAUAUUGCACAAUGGGCGCAAGCCUGAUACAGCCAUGCCGCGUGUAUGAAGAAGGCCUUCGGGUUGUAAAGUACUUUCAUCGGGGAGGCGUUACCCGCAGAAGAAGCACCGGCUAACUCCGUGCCAGCAGCCGCGGUAAUAC
rnacentral:rRNA from 1 species